UUUUAGCUCAGUGGUCGAGCUUUGGCUUCGGAAGCCACAGGUCGGUAGUUCGACUCCACCCGGGCGCAG
rnacentral:tRNA from 1 species